rnacentral:rRNA from 1 species
CCUACGGGAGGCUGCAGUGAGGAAUAUUGGUCAAUGGACGAGAGUCUGAACCAGCCAAGUAGCGUGAAGGAUGACUGCCCUAUGGGUUGUAAACUUCUUUUAUAUGGGAAUAAAAUGUUCCACGUGUGGGAUUUUGUAUGUACCAUAUGAAUAAGGAUCGGCUAACUCCGUGCCAGCAGCCGCGGUAAUACGGAGGAUCCGAGCGUUAUCCGGAUUUAUUGGGUUUAAAGGGAGCGUAGGUGGAUUGUUAAGUCAGUUGUGAAAGUUUGUGGCUCAACCAUAAAAUUGCAGUUGAAACUGGCAGUCUUGAGUACGGUAGAGGUAGGCGGAAUGCGUGGUGUAGCGGUGAAAUGCUUAGAUAUCACGAAGAACUCCGAUUGCGAAGGCAGCUCACUAGGCUGCAACUGACGCUGAGGCACGAAAGUGUGGGGAUCAAACAGGAUUAGAUACCCUAGUAGUC